CCUACGGGUGGCUGCAGUGGGGGAUAUUGCACAAUGGGCGAAACCCUGAUGCAGCGACGCCGCGUGGGUGAAGAAGCGCCUCGGCGCGUAAAGCCCUGUCAGUAGGGAAGAAAAUGACGGUACCUGAAGAAGAAGCUCCGGCUAACUACGUGCCAGCAGCCGCGGUAAUACGUAGGGGGCGAGCGUUAUCCGGAUUUACUGGGUGUAAAGGGGGCGCAGACGGCGCUGCAAGCCAGGAGGGAAAGCCCGGGGCCCAACCCCGGGACUGCUCUUGGAACUGCGUGGCUAGAGUGCAGGAGGGGCAGGCGGAAUUCGUGGUGUAGCGGUGAAAUGCGUAGAUAUCAGGAGGAACACCGGUGGCGAAGGCGGCCUGCUGGACUGCAACUGACGUUGAGGCCCGAAAGCGUGGGGAGCAAACAGGAUUAGAUACCCCGGUAGUC
rnacentral:rRNA from 1 species